AUGGUGUCACCUUAUGUAACAGCCCAGUGCAGUCACCCAAGAAGCAACAGCCCACGUUCAGCUCCCACAUUUCCUUGGGGAGGCUGCAAUCCAUGUCCCACUGCUCCUUGGAGAUGCUGGAGUAUACUGCAUGGUCCCUCUGAUGCUCUCUCCUCCCCAGCCUGCAAGAUAUCUACUUCUCACACACCAACAGGAGCUGAAUUCCCCCUAACCCCAUCCAGGAUGGUUCUUCAUCCUGCCUCAAGCUCUGUACUUGCCAGCAUCUCAAAAACAUCAUAUGCAGCAGAACUACCUGGAUGCAGUGAUGUUCUUCUCUAUAUGACCUUGCAACGAUGUUUUUCUUUCCCAACUCAUAACCAGGAGUUUUAUCUUAAUCCUUUGUUGCAAUCUCAGCAUGUGAAUUCACACUGGCAAUGAAGAGCAAGGAUUCCAGGUUCAGCUUUGAUUAAAGAAGUGGUACAAAUGGAAUGCAUAAUGGUCAG
rnacentral:lncRNA from 1 species